rnacentral:misc_RNA from 1 species
UUAGGCUAGGGGCUAGGUAAAUAACAUGGGUAAUCAAUAAAUUCUAAGGGAUAAACAUAGGCUUCAAGUUGGCUAUAAGGGAUAUACAUUUUAAUUAGGGGUGGCUAAGGCUUAGUGAGGCUAUAUCAAAGAAUGCCUUAAUCAUUUCUUCAUCAAGCAUAUGUUAGGAUUUCGCCUUGAUAGGUCCAAGAGACAUGUUCUAGAGCUGCUGAAGCAUUCUUAGGUUUGCUUGUAUUUUAAAAAAUUUUCUCCUAAUUUCGCAAGUUCAAUGUGGCAGAUUAAUGGCUAUAAAGGGGUUUAACUAGUCUAGUUCCACUAAAGAGAUUAGGUUUUUCACAGACAACAUGUUAGAGUCCCUUUUUAUCUAUCCAGAUAUGUUCAUUCCUCUAUCCCAUAGAGUCCAAUUAUUAGCUUACUAGAAGUUGGUUAUAGUUCUAAGCUAAAGUUCACCAAAAAAAUAUUGAAAAUUUUCAAAAAUUUUCAAUAUUUUUAUGGUUUCUGGAAUUUUGAUACACAAGAAUAUUAUAGCUGAAUUUAAACAAUGUAAUGAUAUGCAUGUAAUGAUAUGCAAUGCACUUGUAUCCCCCCCAAACUCAAAUUAGACAUUGUCCUCAAUGUUAAUAUAAUAUGCAAAAUUAGAGAAAACGUACACAAAUUAUAAUAAAGCAUAUUAUUUAUUAAGCAUUGAAAAGUUUGGACAUAAAGAAAAUAAAAGAGACCUAUGAUUGCAAUCUAGGACUAGGGUAUUCAAGAUUUUACAAUAAAGAACCUAUCCUAUAGUCCUAGGUCUAAAAGGUCUCUGAUGGUGAUGAUGGUGAUGCUGGUGAUGUUGGCUCCUCUUCAUCAACCUUCUCCAUUAGCAUGUCCAACUUGCUGUGGGCUUCCUGGAGGCUGUCCUCAAUUGCUCGCAUUUUAUUAUUGAUUGUGGUCCCCAUGCACUGUAGAUAUGCGAGUAUCGGGUUUGUGGGUGGUGGUGUGUAUGGAGGCACUCGAGCGGGGAACUCCUGAAACAUUGGCUCUUGGCCUUCUUCUUGAGGUUGUAAAGUCUCGUUGGGUCCUUUUCUUGCUUCGUCUCUCCAAGGGAUGGCGUUCCCUUCAGCAUCCAGUAUGUAGCAUGUGUUGCCCACCUUCUUACAUAUCUCUAUGGAUAUGUAGAUAGUCUGAUCUAUUCUUGACGUUCUAGUGACAAAGCGCAGCCUGGGAUAUCCUGGAACGAAGCCGAAGUGGAGGGCAAUGGUUGUGACAAGGCCACCAAGCACGAUGUGCCCGGUAGACUAUUGACAGAGGCAUCGAAGAUGGUUGCAUAAAAAGAAACCAGUGCUGCACCACUGUCCGGUGACCAUACACUACAAGAAGAAGAGCUCGCUGGCAUUGACAACGCUAAGGCUGUCGCCAUGGCCCACGAUGGUGUGGGCGGCGAACCGAUGCAUAUAGCAGAGGGCUGGACUAGUGAUGCCCAUGGAUUUGGAUUUGCUGGAGUUAUACAGCUCCAUGUUCGGGGCAAUAGAAUUCCAGAAGCUGAUAUUGUUAUAGAGCAUACGGUUCCUAGGAAUCUCCUGGUAGCCGACGCUGUUAAAGCCAAAGAUGGCGUUGAACUCGUCUAUGUUCAUUACCCGGUCAACACCAAGGAGGCAAAAUUCAAUCCUGCACCUGUCCUCCCUGUCGAUAGGCCAUAAUGUGGCCUUGAAGCUACCCAAAAAUUUCAGCGUAGUGUCCUUGUAUGCCGAAAAUUGAAUUUGGGCGAACCUUGUCCACCCAAUGCUAUCCAGUAGCCCAUUGAUUUCAUCUUGUAGCCCGAUUUGCUCCAAAAGUGGAAAAUCCAUGUAUUUGGUGGAGCUUAUUUUCAGGGCGUGAAGCCGGGUGCACAUUGCUUUGUGGGCAUCAUCACGAAAUCCCCAAGGAAUGGAGAUUUCAGGUUAUGGAGCAGAUUGUGGCUGUGGUUGUGGUUGUGGUUGUGGUGGAGGAUGGGCUUGUUAAGAUGGUUGGAGAGUGGCUACCCUUGUUCUUGGGCAUUGGGAUGGAGGCUAAGGUGGAGAAGGUGAGGAUUCUCCUCUUUGCCUUGAAGAAGAGCCAAUCCUUCUUACAGAUCUCUUUGCAGGAGCCAUGGAUGAGUUUUUGGGAAGGAGAAGAGUAGGGUUUGGUGAAGAGAGAUGAGAUUUGAGAGGUUUUUAUAGGCUAGGAAGGGAGGAGAUGAAGGGUUUUGUGUUUAUGAAGGGUUUUAAUGCUAGGGGUGUAUUUAAAGAGCUGUUAGGACUCUUCGUUUCACGCGUUUCAUGCCCCAGGAGUCACGUCUGCGACAAAGUACACUGGUCGUGUAUCACUACAUGAGUCCCAACAUGUAGGGCUGUGUAAAUUUCUGCCCGAAAAUUUCAAAUUCUGUCAUAGCACACGGCCCGUGUAAAUAAGCUUUGGGACCCGUGUAACUUUUUGUCUCUCGAGUUUCUUUACUGGAUAUGUUACACGGCCCGUGUCAAAUACAAGGAGGCCCAUAUAACUUCCUGACUUUAAGUUAUUCUGCUAGAGACAUUACACGGUCCGUGUAAAUUGGGCUUUGGACCCGUGUAACUUUUUGUCUCCUUCAGAGUUAAAAAUGCAGGAAAUUUACGGACUUUCAGAAAGUUACACGACCUGUGUAAAACCAAUACACGACCCAUGUAAUAUUCUGAUUUUUCAAAUUCUUGUCAAAUGAAAAAUGUUUAUUAUCAUAACACAUGAAAUAGAUGUAAAGUUUAGCAAUAGAGCUACUUCCCUGGUUUUCUCUAAUUUUCCCUUUUGUGGUUUUGACUUGGUGAUUCCUUCCCUCUCUUAAUCUCUACUUCCCUUUCCAAAUAUCCUACAAAAUGAAAUGCUAAUAAGUAUGAAACAAAAAUUAAUAUGAAAAAGAAGAAAAGAAAAGAAAAGUUUAGAAAAUUUUUGGGUUGCCUCCUAAAAAGCGCUUGUUUAUAGUCUUUAGCUUGACUUUGCUUAUUUAUGGUCUGUCGGUAGGAUGGUCGAUGGUACAAUUGACUCCCAUUUCUAUGGGUUCUCCCUGAAAGUAAGGCUUUAGCCUUUGUCCAUUGACAUUAAAUACACCUGAGGUUUCGCUCCACACUUCUAC